AGCAGCCGCGGUAAUUCCAGCUCCAAUAGCGUAUAUUAAAGUUGUUGCAGUUAAAAAGCUCGUAGUUGAAUUUCAGGCCUGGCUGGACGGUCCGCCCUUCGGGUGAGUACUGUCUGUGGUCGGGUCCUACCUUCUGGCGAAGCGUCAUGGCCUUAACCGGCCGUGGCGGGGAACCAGGACUUUUACUGUGAAAAAAUUAGAGUGUUCAAAGCAGGCAAAUCGCUUGGAUACAUUAGCAUGGAAUAAUGGAAUAGGACGAUGGUUCUAUUUGUUGGUUUCUAGGACCGUUGUAAUGAUUAAUAGGGAUAGUUGGGGGCAUUAGUAUUCAAUUGUCAGAGGUGAAAUUCUUGGAUUUAUUGAAGACUAACUACGCGAAAGCAUCUGCCAAGGAUGUUUUUCAUAAUCAAGAACGAAAGUUAGGGGAUCGAAACGAUCAGAUACCGUCGUAGUCUUAACCAUAAACU
rnacentral:rRNA from 1 species